rnacentral:lncRNA from 1 species
CCUUCUUUUUGUACCAAAUUUAUAUAUUUUCUUUCUUCCUUUUUUAUUUACUUGUAUCAUUUUAAUCUAUACUUUGGUACUUCAGCUUUUCUCCUCUAAAAAAUAAGAAAUUUCUCCUCUAAGAAAUAAGUUUCAAUGUUUUCCUUGUCUUAAGCUUUGAAAAAAGACCUGACUGUUGAAACUCUAUGCUGAGAAAAAUGCCUUCGGACACUGUGUUCCAACACAGGUUGAUCUUCCCUUCACACUGUGUUAUUAGGACUUGCUUCCUGCCAUGCUGCACAUGAGACAAACUCCUCUGAUGAAAGUCAGGGAUAUAACUUCAGCCCUGAGACUUCACUGAAGAGCCAUGAGGGUGAAGAGAAAAGCAGAGAGAUGGUUCGAAUGGGAUUGUAACUAUUUUGAUA